GGCAGGCGCUGUGGCGCACGCCUGUAAUCCCAGCAGCUCAGGAGGCUGAGGCAGGAGGAUCAUGAAUGAGUUCAAAGCCAGCCUUAACAAUGAGGCACUAAGCAACUCAGUGAGACCCUGUCUCUA
rnacentral:sRNA from 1 species